rnacentral:rRNA from 1 species
UACGGAGGGUGCGAGCGUUGUCCGGAAUCACUGGGCGUAAAGGGCGCGUAGGCGGCUCGGUAAGUCGGGGGUGAAAUCCUGCGGCUUAACCGCAGGGCUGCCUUCUAAACUGUCGAGCUCGAGCACGGUAGAGGCAGAUGGAAUUCCCGGUGUAGCGGUGGAAUGCGUAGAGAUCGGGAAGAACACCGGUGGCGAAGGCGGCUCUCUGGGCCUGUCCUGACGCUCAGGCGCGAAAGCUAGGGGAGCGAACAGG